UACGUAGGGGGCAAGCGUUGUCCGGAAUCAUUGGGCGUAAAGCGCGUGUAGGCGGGUUCUUAAGUCAGAGGUGAAAUCCUGGAGCUCAACUCCAGAACUGCCUUUGAUACUGAGAGUCUUGAGUAUGACAGAGGUGAGUGGAACUGCGAGUGUAGAGGUGAAAUUCGUAGAUAUUCGCAAGAACACCAGUGGCGAAGGCGGCUCACUGGGUCAUUACUGACGCUGAGGCACGAAAGCAUGGGGAGCAAACAGG
rnacentral:rRNA from 1 species